GAUCCCUAAACAAUGUCAUUCCUCAAGUAGAUAAUUUACCUUUCCAAGCUGUUCUCAAUGGAUGGUAUUCAGUUGAUUCAUUUUUUGUCCUCAGUGGAUUUUUGAUGUCCUAUUUAUACUUUCAAGAUUGCGAAAAAAGAAAGGGAAAAACACCGUGGCUUUAUUUUUACGUCCACCGUUAUCUAAGGCUAACACCGGUUUAUAUGAUUGUAUUGGCAUUUUACGCCACUGUCUUGCCAGUAAUGGGAUCUGGACCUUUCUGGAGAGAUACAAACGUUGAUCAAAAUUGCCAUAAGAAUUGGUGGUGGAAUUUACUUUAUA